rnacentral:rRNA from 1 species
GAUGAACGCUGGCGGCGUGCCUAAUACAUGCAAGUCGAGCGAACGGACGAGAAGCUUGCUUCUCUGAUGUUAGCGGCGGACGGGUGAGUAACACGUGGAUAACCUACCUAUAAGACUGGGAUAACUUCGGGAAACCGGAGCUAAUACCGGAUAAUAUUUUGAACCGCAUGGUUCAAAAGUGAAAGACGGUCUUGCUGUCACUUAUAGAUGGAUCCGCGCUGCAUUAGCUAGUUGGUAAGGUAACGGCUUACCAAGGCAACGAUGCAUAGCCGACCUGAGAGGGUGAUCGGCCACCUUGGAACUGGGACACGGUCAAGACUCCUACGGGAGGCAGCAGUAGGGAACGUUACGCAGUGGGCGGAAGCCUGACGGAGCAACGCCGCGUGAGUGAUGAAGGUCUUCGGUUCGUAAAACUCUGUUAUUAGUGAAGAACAUAUGUGUAAGUAACUGUGCACAUCUUGACGGUACCUAAUCAGAAAGCCACGGCUAACUACGUG